AAAAAAUGAAGUGUUUUGAACAGAAGCAUUUGUCUUUAUUUUGCAUUAUUACAAGGAGCUUUACAAAGGCAUUAAAGGUUAUCAAUUUGAGCCACUUAGAUAGCAUACACAUUCGAAUGCAAAUGAAAUAGUUGGCCAUGAAGAAAGUGCCGAGCACGCAGGGAGCAGGAUAUGCCUCGUGCUGGAAAAAAAGUCAGAGAGUUCUACAGAGAGGUCUCAACUACAGUGCGCAAGGAUAUGUACACGGAAUUAAGAUUUUGGACGGAGCAGGACGCAAUAUCAGAGUUACAGCGAAAUGUUGACGAUCAAAGCAAAAAAGUUUGACGCCUCACAAACUUCAUAUUGAAAUCCAACAGGAUAAAAUAGUGGAAUUGUACUGCACAUGUAAAGCAGGAUGUGCAUGUAAAUGCUGCAUAGAUAUGGAAAUAAUGGGAGAGCUUUUGCUGGCAUGAGACAACAUAUUCACCAGAAAAUGGCAGAUAAUUCUGACCAUCUACAGUGCAUGACGGAGC